UACGUAGGGGGCGAGCGUUGUCCGGAAUCAUUGGGCGUAAAGAGCGUGUAGGCGGCUUGGCAAGUCUGACGUGAAAGCCCGCGGCUCAACCGCGGAUUGUCGUUGGAAACUGCCUCGCUAGAGUCCGGAAGAGGAAAGUGGAAUUCCUGGUGUAGCGGUGAAAUGCGCAGAUAUCAGGAAGAACACCAAUGGCGAAAGCAGCUUUCUGGGACGGUACUGACGCUGAGACGCGAAAGCGUGGGGAGCGAACAGG
rnacentral:rRNA from 1 species